rnacentral:rRNA from 1 species
GAUUGAACGCUGGCGGAAUGCUUUACACAUGCAAGUCGAGCGGCAGCGCGGGGCAACCUGGCGGCGAGCGGCGAACGGGUGAGUAAUGCAUCGGAACAUGUCCAUGUCGUGGGGGAUAGCCCGGCGAAAGCCGGAUUAAUACCGCAUACGCCCGAGAGGGGAAAGUGGGGGACUCGCAAGGGCCUCACGCGAUUGGGUUGGCCGAUGUCCGAUUAGCUAGUUGGCGGGGAAGAGCCCACCAAGGCGAUGAUCGGUAGCUGGUCUGAGAGGAUGAUCAGCCACACUGGGACUGAGACACGGCCCAGACUCCUACGGGAGGCAGCAGU